ensembl:lncRNA
CGACUCGGAUCUCGGAUCUGACGCCACGCCCGUCCACAUCGAGGGGGCGGCCACUCAGUUCACAUUGAGGACUGGUCAAACAGCAUGUGCAGCAUCUGAUCCCGUUUCUGACCUGAAAUUAGCUGAAAUGUACCUGAAAUUACCUGAAAUUAGAGUGUGCCCGCCCGAGCUAGUGAUGCCUAAAACAUGCAAAGACACGUCAGUGUAAUUGUGAAUGGCGAGAGCCCUGAAAUACAGCUGGACAGCAGCGGUCUACAUCACUGCCCCUUCUGCAGAUACAAAGGGUCAAAAUGUGAUAUCGACCAUCACAUUAAAUGCCAUGCCUCGGUUAAAUACAGAGGUCUGCAGAGGAGCUUUCAGGAAGCAGGAAGAGAAGACGGGAGGAAAAAAAAGCUACAGGAUAAAGAUCUCUGCACAAAAAGGGCUAGAGUUGCUCCAACAGCAUCCAGCUCUGAAGGAUCAGGUCAUGUAUAGACUGUUAAUCCAGACAAAACUGAAGACCAGAAACUGGAACCUGGGAACCUGGUAUAUAAUAUGAAGAUUAUGUUGUCCUGAAGGACACAAUUCAGGCAGCAGCAUGGUGCCAGUUACAGUCCUUCAAGGACAGCGUUUCUCUCCCAGAGGUCAUUGGGAUGGAAGGUUGGGAGCAGAUGGCAGCUUCAACACAGCGCAAAUCCCAUGACGGCGGGGAUGAGGAAGAAACGUGGAAACCAUUCCAAUUCUCAUUCAGAUUACAUACUGACUAUGAACUGUUCUGUGUGGAGAGGAUGGACAGGAGAAACCUGAAGGUGUUUGCCUCUUUUGAGUCAAACACCUCUCCCCCUCCCCGUCCCCCCUCCCCGUGACGCCUGCGCCACACGACUCCAAUGUAGUCUGAUGAUGCAGCAUAAUGGCGGCGCUUGGCAGCUAUGGCGGCGGUGACGGCGAUGUCGGGCGACAGAGCGUGAAGCAAGAGUUGCAUCCACCUCACUGAGGAAGGCGUCAGUGUGUUCCCCUUUUGUUGUUUGACUUUGUUUGUUCUACUCUUUAUUGAUUUAUCUUUUAUGUUUAUAGUUUACAAUCAAUUUUUUGUAGUUGUUAUUUUUUAAUUGUUUUGUUGAAUAAAAAGACAGUUGUUAUUGCUCCUGUGAUUGGUGUAACUUAAUGUGCUUCACACAUGUAGCUUUUCAUUAUGUCUAUUGAGGUACAUUUUUUGCCCUUAGAUGUGGUCACUUCGUUAUUCCUCACAUUACAUCUGUUAAGGUCAUACCUUUGGGUCCCAGUCUUCAUAGUUCCCCAAAUCUUAUUUUGGCUCUUACUGGGCCUGUUACUCACGGGUACAGGAGUUCGGACACGUUGCAUUGUUUACAGGCAAGGGUGGAUUACCGCACGGGCACACCGGGCACAUGCCCAGGGGCCCAAGGGCGGCCCUAAACCAGAGCUUCUGUGUGAAGUCGCUGUUAGUAACUUUUAAUGUUGCAUUGUCAAAGCAAUCAGUAGAGAAAUACAAAAAUUCAAGCGAAAACGGCAAUAGUAGGGCUAUUAAUACUGAGUAAAAAAAAAAAAAGAUCACUAGGGGGUACUAUUUCACUUAGUGAAUUUGAGACAGGUCACGAACAAGGCACUGUGAUUUAAACAUUGAGCAACGGCGAACGGUAGUAACGUGAACUCUUAAGUGGAACCUUAAUAGGUCCAUGAGUGGAACAGUUAAGCGAAAAAAAAAUAAACAAGAGAAUAUGUAUUUGCAAGUCGUUUAGGCUAUGCUUAACUUUAUAAUAGUUCCAUGGUACGCAGCAAGAAAGAUACCAAGUCACAAUACUCCCGUACCAUCUGUUUGUAUAGUUUAAUUAACAGCAUGGGCUCCCGCUAGCUUAACAUAGUAUUACCGUUUCUUGCAUUAACAAGAGCAGCAGAAAUCUGCUCAAUCGUCAGAGGUCGGAGUGCCCGCCCCCUCCAUGUGGACUGAGUGCCCGCCCCCUCCAUGUGGGCGGAGGGCCGGCCCCCUCCAUGUGGACUGAGUGCCCGCCCCCUCCAUGUGGGCUCCGUCUGCGGGCUGCAGUCAGGGGUACUUGGGUCCACACGCAUUCAACACAAAAUGGCAACGUUCUUCUUCACCACGUGGUUGAUGACGCGUUCAUAGUGUUCCAGACAAAACAUAACUUAUUUCUUACUUCUUAAAAUGACUGAAACUUAUAGAUGUAACAUCCCUCAAAGCUGUAAGAGUUCUACAUGAUUUAUAUAUGUUUUGAUGAGAAACAUAAAUCAAACGUUUUGUAUACAGUUUGUUUGAUAACAGUAACAUUUCUAUUCAAGGCAUCCAUAACUUGGUCAAGUCACCAUACAUGGAUUAAAAACUUACAUUCAACCUCACUGAAAUUAAUCCAUACUCUAUCAAAGGUUUCCAUAACCUGGGUCAAGUAACCAUACAUCCAAAACAUUGGCAGAAUGUAAUGCUUUGAAGUGGUAGGUUAAGGAAACAGAUGAAAAGCAUUUAGUUUAUGUGGUUAUAUCAAUUAACACAUUUUCAAUUAACAAAGAAAUUAUAGUAACAUUAAUAAUGAAAUAGUUAUUUUACUUUUAAUUUCUUAGUAACUUUAAAUGAGUUUUUACUUUUUUUAGAGUAUUAAAACUGAAUUUGACGGUUUAUUCCCUUAAAUAAAAGACAAAUAUUUGUGAAAUUACGAUAUAUUUGUGAACGUAUUUUAACAAUAAAUAUAUGGAUUUCUAAUAGUUUUUUUUUGUAAAAGAACAGGAAUAUUGUGUGUUUUCACAGUUACAGUGAUUUCAUGUUAUUUUACAUUUGACAUGUAAAAUAACAGUCUCUUUUUGUAAAUUAAAUGGUAUUUUAAAAAUACAGACAAAAUCUGUAAAAUAAACAGUAAAAUUCUGUUAUAUUACAACUUUUUUUUACAGUGUAGUGCUCGUUUUACACCCAACGAAAUGUCUAGCUACUGGGGGAACAUAGGUAGGCUAGGGGAACGCAUAUUAAUGUUAGAAAACCUCAGAAAGUGAAAUUUUCAUGCCAUGGGUUCUUUAAGAACACAAAGAAGAUACAUUUUAUUAUCAAAAGGGACUACUUCUGGGGACGCCCCAGAAAAAUUGCUUGAAAAAAUAACUAGAAAGUAAAACACUUACCAAAGACAUCGGAUGUUAUGCUGAAACAGUGAUCCAUGGAGAGGGGACACUCACGGGUCUCAAGGCAGUCGCUGGGGUUUAACUGUGUGGUCGCACACGAGUAGCAUCUUAAUCCCCCAACUACAAAGAAACACAAUGUCAAUACAUCCCCCUAGAGGCGGGGGGGAAAGCUUUUUUUUUUUUCCACCACAAAACGGAUCAAACCAUUCACAUAAAACGAGUUUGUUAUGUCAAGGACAUAUCAAAAAGGUGUUCUUACCGGUUGAUAUGGUCAAAGAAAGAACUAAGAAAAUGCCAAUGAAGCCCAUCGUAGAAGAAGAUGAUAAAUUAGAGAUCUAGUGGAAGAAGUAACCAAAUGUGAUAAACGCCCUUCCCUUUUUCUUUAAAAACUAAACUUUAAAAGGGGAAACUGUAUCCUGUUUGUCUCGAAGGAAGCCCUUGGGAAUCACACACGUUGUUGCUGUAUUUUUAGUAUUGAUGCGCUACCAAUCUCUAAGGUAGCUAUCCUGUGACAUGGGAUAAAUUGGACUUAAGUUCUUAAAACUGCCAAACGAAUCAAGUAGGCCUAGUUGUGUUGUUGAAACCUGACCAAAAAAUAAAACAAUGUAACAAAUAGCCCGGUCACAUGGGUGCUGUGUUUGAUCCAUUCAUCCCCUCCACUCACUUCCUCCAUGCUUUGUUGCAUUGUGUUUUUCGUCACCUGACUUCUUCCAGCCUUUCUGUCGGGUUCCUGCCAUUGUAUGCUACCUGGUAACAUAUCCCCACCGUAGUGCGAAGGAUAGCAACGUCUAUCAAAUCGUGCUACCCUAUCAAAUAAGGCUACAUUGUAUGCUUGGUAGCGUUGAUCUGUAGACCACUAUCCUCUAUCAAACGAUGAUCCCAUUAUGCAAUCACGUUAUUUUACACACGACUCCAAGGGCGUAACUUUGGUUUGAGAAGUGUGUGUGUGUGUGUGUGUGUGUGUGUGUGUGUGUGUGUGUGUGUGUGUGUGUGUGUGUGUGUGUGUGUGCGCGCACGCACGCGCGCGCGUGUGUUAGUUACUGCGGUAACUAAUGCAAAAUCCGGGAAAUAAUUAAGUUAAUUAAGUCAUAAUACUAAAUUCUGCCAGAAUAAAUAUGCAUAAUCAAAAUGAAUCAAACUUUUAAUAUAAAGAACAUUUCUUUAUUCAUACAUCGUAUGGACAGAGGUCGGCGAACAAAA